ensembl:lncRNA
CGGGGCGGGGGCUCCAGGCUGCCAGGAAAGCUCUGAAGAACUGACCACCCCUUUCUCUUGGACGUCCUAAGGCGUCAGACCUCAAGAUAGAUGAAGCUGCAUCACAUAGUGUGGCUGGUGCGCAGGACAGGUGAGCUCCGAGCAACACAGACCCUGCGGCUCUGCUCCGUCUGGGUUGGAUUCGCUCUCGUGGCUUCCUAGAUGGGCCUUCCUCCACUGCUGCACUGCGGAGAGGCCGGCAGGCGCCACUCCUCACCCACAGUAGUCUCCUUGCAAAAAGCUAGGCGCGCAGCCUGGCUGAGAGCCCAGAGCGUCACCUACCCACACCUGGCGUGGCCCUUCUGUAGGAGACGGGAUUGGCUUCUGCAAGGCCAAAACCUAUGUCCGACUUCCUCGAAGAGGAUCUCACUCAGCUGUCCUCACAAAGUUUGGAGCCAGAAAGUCCCAUGAUCGCAAGGAAAUUCACUGAACUUCGGUUUCGCUUACGAGGCAUUUUGAGAUUUUUCUUGCUUUGCCAGAGGAAGAGGAGAGGAACUGUAAAGAAUGCUUUUUAUUCCUGUGGAGUGGAAUAGUCUGUAUCCACAUUGAAGCUUUCUUCUCUCCUGUAUCCUGGAGUUGGUCAGAGUUGGUUCCUCGAAUGCGGCAGCACUACCAUCUCUCAGCAUCUCGAUAAAUUGCCCAGGUUGGCCUCGAACUUGAAAUCUUCCUUCAUCAGCCUCCCCGUAGUUGGGAUGACAGGAGUCCAGCUCAACGAAGAAUUCCAUGAGGACGGGAGGUGAGAAGUAGCUAGAGUCAGCUGGAAAGAAAGGAAGGAGCCCUACCUUGGAGACCAAUUUGUAGGCUAGAUCCACCUUCUGUGUUAAACUUUGUCACCAGUGGACACAGGGGCCACUCUUGACACCAAAGGCACUUGAGGCCACUUUGGGGCUCAGAGGAGCUGAAGGGAGUCAGCAAGUCUGCCAAACAAAGAUCCCAAGAGUUGAGCAAUCUCCUGAAUGCAACAAUUUAUUGAGCAUUUACCACAUUCAUAGAAAGAGAGAAGGGAUCUCACCCAGACAUAAGCUAGGAGCUGGAGGUGGCACUGACAGUGCAGGACUUUCUUCCACCUGGCCUACACACUGUGUGAACACCGUGGGCCCAACAGGCAGCACUGGAACUCAGCGAUCUGCAGGCUGAGCACUGGAACUCAUGGCGAUCCAGAGACCAGUACAGCCAGGGAGCCAAGUGGGGAAUCCGGAUGGGCAGAGUGAUGGUCACAGACUGUUGCAGAGCUCAAGCAGCAGCUCCUCAAAGAGCAAUAUGAGGGCAGAGUCCAUAAGCAUUAAGCCAGAAGACCAAGCCCAAGAGCAGCUCAAGACUUCAUCUUUUAUGCUGUGGGGAAGUUGGUGCAAACAACAUGUGUUAAUCUUGACAGUAAAAAUAUAUUUUUUAGAAAACAUUUUUAUAAGUUUCUCAAAAGGGGUUCACAAAGUAAGAUUUUAGCAUGCAGGCCAUAUGGUUAUCACACAAUAGGGUUGACACUCAAGCACAGUGGUUGUGUGGUUAUCACAUGGGUCAGAAAGCUCAGACUCAGAAAGUAAGUUUGAAACAAGACAGAAGCAAAGGAUGGCUUCUGUCCUGCUCACAUUACACUUUAAUCUAGGUCCAGGAUAUCCUGGUCUAAGUGGAGAAGGAGAAGUAACAAAGUAACCCAUAGUAAGUCCCCUGACCUAUACUCAGAAGUCUUAAGCAACCUUUGUCCACUCUGUCCACACCAUAAUCAUCAUGUCAUUACCAAUGCUGUUUUAACCACUCCCCGCCACCAUUCCUGUGGGUUUGGGGCACCAUGAAAGUUUCUCCAAGGGCCAUAAAAAGUCAAAAACUGCCACUAAUUGGGAGGGCAGAAUCAAACCUCUCAUUGGCAAGAGCAACCUUUAGACCAACCCCUCAGUCCCUGCCCAAUCCUUAGUGCUUAAAACCUUCACCACCAAGCCUCUUCAAGGCAGGACCUUUUCUCACGGGUCCACUUCCACCUUGUACUUUCAGUAAAUCUUUGAUCUUUCUGCUCCUUUUGAGUGCCCUGCUCAAUUCUUCAUUGAGACACCAAGAACCUAGAUAAGAUUCUUGACUCAGUAAGAGGGGGACAGAAAAUUAUUUUUUCUUCCCCUGCUCUAACCUAUUUUCUCUUCUGUCUUUGGAAGCUCAGCAGCAACAAAACUUCAGGGAGCAAAAGAGACCCCUCUCCUCCCAGCAGCCUGGACUCUCAAGAGCCACCUUCGCUUGGGGCUGGGAACAUGAUUCACUGAUAGAACAUUUGCCUAGAAUGCAUGAGGCCCUAGGUUCAAUCCCCAAAAUGGGGUGGGGGAGCCCUGCUCAUGGAUUGGAAGACAAAUCUGUGGAGAGAGUAGAUUAGUUGUUGCUUAGAACUGAGGUGAUAAGAAGAUUUGAAAGGUGAUGGCUAAGUGUUACAAAGUUUUUUUGGGGGUAAUAAAAUGUUCUAAAAUAGCUUGUGACAAUGGACGCACAACUAUGAAUAUACUAAAAGCCAUUGAGUUAGGAACUUCCAAUGGGUGAAUUGUAUAGUAC